rnacentral:misc_RNA from 2 species
AACUCUCAACCCCCCUAUUUUGUAAUGAGAUGGGCGUGGGCUUGGAUUAUGACUGCUGUCGGCGUAAUUGCCGGCUCAGUUGAAAUACACGAGCAACCCAUUUGAAAUAAACGGCUUGACUCGGCGUAAUAAUUAUUUCGCUGAGGACGUUUUCUUCAAAAGUAAGAGGUGCUUCUAAUGCGCUUUUAUAGCAUUUAUAU